CUUACUGAUGAAACAAAUUUUGGUCCAGUGGUUUUUUUAGUAUAAACCACGGACUUCAAAAUAUAUUUAACCGGAAUUCGCACGAAAUCAUUUUUCGUUACUUAAUGAUAUAUCGAUACACACAGUUAUAAAUUAAAUAACUACAUUGUAUCCUUCCUUCCUAACUUCUCACCUAUAACAAUGGCACGCCUGUAAGCAAUAUCAGCUAUUUGUUUUUUUUUUUUUUUUUUUUUUUUUUUUUAUAAUGAGUAUACUGUCGCUGCAGCACCGCAUCAAACUAACCGUUUUUGACCUUUAGGCAGAAGAAACCCAACCGUUGUGAACGCCACGCCGCCGUAACUUUCCGUAGAGCAUGUUACAUUAAUUUAUACGAUUUUUAUACGAUAGUUUGUUUUUUAUUUUCGUGAAAAUAAUAGGGAAAAUCAUUUUUUACGCGUUUAAGCAAUUUGUUCAGUGGUCCAAAAUGAGAGGUGAGAUAAUAUGUUACCUAUUAUCGGUGGUUAGUGUUUUAACAGUUGUGAGACUAAAUACGGGUCGGAGUGUUACAGAAAAAGUUGGGCACUAACUACAGUUCAAAACUAUGCAUUGAGUUGACUAUAUUUGUUAAUAAUUAUUUAAACUUAGUCAUUCGGUUUAAAUUCUGAAUUAACUUACUGUCUAAUUUUUUUAACUUUAUAUCUAUCUACCUGAAUAUGAAUUCAAU